rnacentral:rRNA from 1 species
UACGUAGGGUGCGAGCGUUAAUCGGAAUUACUGGGCGUAAAGCGAGCGCAGACGGUUAUUUAAGCAGGAUGUGAAAUCCCCGGGCUCAACCUGGGAACUGCGUUCUGAACUGGAUAGCUAGAGUGUGUCAGAGGGGGGUGGAAUUCCACGUGUAGCAGUGAAAUGCGUAGAGAUGUGGAGGAAUACCGAUGGCGAAGGCAGCCCCCUGGGAUAACACUGACGUUCAUGCUCGAAAGCGUGGGUAGCAAACAGG